rnacentral:lncRNA from 1 species
GGGGUCAGUCCAGAAGCCUUCAGAUAACACCAGGGUGUAGUCCUGGCGAGAAAUCUUCAGUUGCUUCAGGACCUUUUCUAGCCCCACGCGACGGCUAGGUCCUCCGUGAGAGAAAACUGGUUCGAGAAGCAUGGCCAACAUUCCCAAUGAUCCGCAGAUGUGGUUUCCACCUGGCCGGUGCCAUGACACCCACACACAUGGCGACAAGGAGAAGGGAGAAGAAAACCUAUUUGUUGUAUAUACCUGGCUUUUGGCACAGCUGCCGGGAUUCACCUGUGCAAGUUUCCAGCUUGCUUAUCUAUGCUUGCAGCUUGAUUUUUCAGGCUACUUUCUGUUAGAAAAGAAAUGAUUUGGGGGCUGCUUUCUAUUAAAAGAAAAACCUUACCAAGGACUCCUGUACCCUCACUAUCUGCCUAAAUAAUUUCUUAACGCCUAUAUUAUUCCCUUUAAAUAAAUUUUUUUGUGGUGUUUGUCUUAUUGUUAUUAGGUUAUGAGAAUUCAUUAUACAUUCAAGAAAUAUAUAAUUCAUUAUAUAAAAAUAGUUUUAUAAAUUAAAUAUAAAUAUAUAAAUAUAUAAUUUAUUACAUAGUCAGGAAAUAUAUUCAGUCCUUUUUGGGAAAUAUUUUCUCUCAGUCUAUAGUUUGUCCUUUCUUAUACUUAACAGUAUGUUUUUUAGAGCAGAAGGUUUUACUUUAAAAAAUUAUUAAUAUUAUUUUGACUGAUAUCUUUGACUAGAACAUUACUGGUGUAUAGAAAUGGCACUGAUAUCUGUACAUUAAUUUUGUAUCUUUAAACUUUAACUGAAUUC